UACAGCAGCCAUAUCACCCUGCAGCCCAAGACUGGUUGCCCACUGAAGCUAAGCAGGGUUGAGCCUGGACGGGAGACCUCCUGGGAAAACUAGGUUGCUGCUGGAA
rnacentral:rRNA from 1 species